rnacentral:lncRNA from 1 species
UACCAUGCUAAUGAACAAAAGGUGUUCAUCAGCCUUAAGGCAAUUUUUUUAGAAAAAGAGUUCCUUGGUGAAGGAACCGUUGCCUCUAAGAUUGAACUUGAUGAAGUUCAACAGGUAGAAGGACCGACAUCAAUAACUGAACCUGAGUCGGAUAUGAUUAGAUCAGAUCCGGAGCCCAAUGUACCUGCACCAUUAAGGCGAUC